GACUGUAGCUGCCCUGAAACUCUCGCUGU
rnacentral:piRNA from 1 species